GACGAACGCUGGCGGCGUGCUUAACACAUGCAAGUCGAACGGAAAGGCCCUGCUUUUGUGGGGUGCUCGAGUGGCGAACGGGUGAGUAACACGUGAGUAACCUGCCCUUGACUUUGGGAUAACUUCAGGAAACUGGGGCUAAUACCGGAUAGGAGCUCCUGCUGCAUGGUGGGGGUUGGAAAGUUUCGGCGGUUGGGGAUGGACUCGCGGCUUAUCAGCUUGUUGGUGGGGUAGUGGCUUACCAAGGCUUUGACGGGUAGCCGGCCUGAGAGGGUGACCGGCCACAUUGGGACUGAGAUACGGCCCAGACUCCUAGGGGAGGCAGCAGGGGGGAAUAUUGCACAAUGGGCGGAAGCCUUAUGCAGCAACGCCGCGUGCGUGAUGACUGCCUUCGGGUUGUAAACCGCUUUCGCCUGUGACGAAGCGUGAGUGACGGUAAUGGGUAAAGAAGCACCGGCUAACUACGUG
rnacentral:rRNA from 1 species